UGUUUAGGUGUUUGUGUUUAGGUGUUUGUGUUCAUGUGUUUGUGUUUAGGUGUUUGUGUUUAUGUGUUUGUGUUUAUGUGUUUGUGUUUACGUGUGUGUGUUCGUGUGUGUGUCAUGGCUUGAUGUUUUUAGGGUAAUCUUUCUUCUUAGUGGUUGGGAAUUCAAUUAAAAAUGUCCAAAUGUUUUCCAGGUGAACGGUGCCUGCAGGUGGAGGGUGUUGUCACACUGAAACCCCGAAGGUCUCACUUCAUCCUGCUGUGCUGUUGGUGUGUUACCAAGGGCUCUGCUGAGGAGCUGCCAGACACACCAGGCAGGGCUUUGAGAGGCUUAGCUCAAGUUUUUUGACAGACAUAAAAGGUAUUUAGGUCUUGGACACAGACGAGAAUGGGUUCGUAAUGGUUUAUUUUAACACUGGAGUUGAAUACACAGUCGCUGAUUAAAGGAGAAGUGAGAGCCCUGAACCUCUGUGGUGCAGUAGAGUGCUGGCCUGAAACAUCUGUCUGAGGGUCAUCGGGAUGUUUUUGGAGUGAGUGUCCUGGUAACACACUUGGGAAGUUAAGCUGUGGUUUUCAGGGUACUCACAGAUUUUUGGCAGUACACUGUGUCUGUCUCAUUAGCCACAUUAGUACAUUAGCACCUAGAAUCUGUGUCUCUAGUACAUCAUAUAAUUGCAUAAACACUACCAGGGUUUACAUUCUUUUAACUUGCAUUUUUUUUUAAAGUAAAGACAGAUUUGGGAACUUGUUGGAAAUCAUGAAAAGAACGCUGUUGCUGCUCCUUUCUGCUGAGCUGAAGGAGCUGUCAGCAUAGGAGACAGGGCUUCCUUCUUCAAACGUGUCAGUCCCAUUAGUACUGAACUGUCUUAAACAUGUCUUGGGUUUUGGCAGCAUUAGCAAACCAUAUCCUACAAUAACACUGAUUUCUAAAUCAAAAAAAACAAUGGCUGUCUCUAAAAGACUUGGAGGGGGUUUCCCUUCCUGUGUCUGCCUGUCAGAAACCGUUACUAAAAUUCACCAGUUCCAUUUUUCAGAUGAACUCCAGGACACACACUGAGUGUGAUCUGUGCCUUCGCCAUCCAUUAUCAUUCCUGUGUGUUCAGGGUUGGGCUGGCUCAGGGCUGGAACGCUGAGCACGGGCUGUGAUCACGCCAUGUGAUCUUGCUCCCAAAAUUUGUGUUUAUUGUUACAUAAUUACACACAUAAACAAUCUUUUGAAUGCUUCAGAAAGAAUUUAUGGAAUUCGUAGGAGAAAGCACAAAGCUUUCUUUGUUGUGUUGUAAAGAUACAACCACAGAGGCAUGAAAAUAAAUGCUGGCUUUGCUCUUUUUUGUCUGAAAUAAGGGAAAAUAUGGUGUUUUCACCACACUGUGUCCUUGCUCUGGCCCGUGGUGCAGCUGCACAAACUCUUGUGCCUGUACAGUGGUGCAGAGAGGGGCAAGGCUGCUUCUCUCUCCAUGCCUCGGCAGGCUGAGCAUGGACAACCCCUCAGGACUGUGGCACAGAGAAAGCCAUGUUCCUAGAAUGCUCAGAAAUUCCAUAUUUUGAAUUAUAUGGGGUUUUUUAGUUCAGGGAACGAACCAGCAGAAAACUCUGGCUCAUCAUGAGGUACAGGCUCCCAGGUACAUCCAGCAAGAGCACUCUUGCUUAGAAAGAGUAGCUCAAUAAGGGGUGAAAAGGGGGAAAGGAGACUUUUUUCUCUCGCAGGAAUAAGUGUGAGUUCAGGUUCGGUGAUGAGACUCUCUAAUGCUGUAGGGCCGAGUUGGAACCUGACAUAACGGAGUAACUCCAGGGAAGCUGAACCUGCCGCCCCCAGGUCUGUUCAGACCUUGCAGACCUUUCCUGGCUGGAUCUUAUUUUCCAUCAGCAUAUGCCACCGUGUGGCAAAGGAACACGAUGCAGCUGCUCCUUUUUCAACUCUGAAUCACUUGUUUCUUUUAAGGUCCUGCCCUCUUUCUGUAUCCCUUGGUUUGCUGGGGGCGGAGGGACAGGAUGAGUUUCAACUCCAACAUUCCUGUGCUUGGAAUCCUGCCUGUGCAGCGUGGUGGGGUUUUGCAGGGUGAUGUUGGGCCAGCACAAAGUGCAUUUCUCCGUUCCAAGCGAGCAGGUAACUGAAGAAUAACUGUAUGGGGAAAAUCUGUGAAGUAAGGUAUGACACCUUUAAAUUUUGCCUUCAUUUUUGCAUCCAAAUUGCUCGUGGUUCUUAUCUCCCUUGCACAACCACUGGAUAUUGUGGAGCUUUGGGGGAAGAGGGACUUUUUAUGUGUGCACAUAGUGACAGGACAAGGGGAAAUGGUUCUAAACUGAGAGAGGGCAGAUGUAGAUUAGAUAUGAGGAAGAAAUUCUUGGCUGUGAGGGUUGCUCAGAGAAGCUGUGGCUGCCCCAUCCCUGGAAGUGUCCAAGGCCAGAUUGGAGCAACCUGGGCUAGUGGAAGGUGUCCCUGCCUAUGAUGGGGGGGGGGGGGGAAGUUAAAUGAUCUUUAAAAUCCCUUCCAACCCAAAUCAUUCUGUGAUUCUGUUAUUUGAAUGCUUUAUUCCUCUUUUUGUUCCCUGCCACCCCACUUGCUCCCUGGGGAUAGCAGUGUUCUCUUCCAACAUAAACACAGCCUUUACAAAGAUGAUUCAGGUUUUCACUGGGAGCCUUUCAUUUGCACUGUUUAUGCAGGCACGUUGUGCACUGUACAAUAUCUCUCUUGUUUGCCAUAAACAUCAGCAUGAUGGGAAGGCAGCAAAAGACUCCAAGGGAUAAUCAGCAGAUGGAAUGAAACAAUGCCAACAGUGGGAGAACAUAGCUGGAGAGGCUGCUCCUGGGGCAAGACACGUCCUCAGUGGAAUGGGGCAGUGCUGUUGGAAGUGUGGAGAGAGGAUCAUGAGUGCAAGCAGGUUUGUGUGCAGAGUCACUGGAGCUGGUGGAUCUUCUAGAUCCUGAGUAGUAUUCUGCUGGAACUCUCUCCUCUUCCUGGGAAAGAUAAGUGGUGCCUACUGCCACAGGUUUCUAAGAGGUUUAGCCUGGGCAGCGUGUUGGUGGUACAGCAGUGUGAGGAUGGAAACCCUCACUGCCCACUGGGUGUAGUUUCAGAGCAGGACAAGUGACUAUUUCAUAUGCUUUCAUUGGGGUUUGUGUGGAUUUGGUUGCUAUUUCUCCUAAAAACAUGCUGGUGUAUCUCUGUCAUGUUACCAGUCUUCUGUAGAAUUUUCUUUUUCUCGUUACCUUUUUUUUUUAAUUCUCUUUUUUUUUAAUGGGCCUUUGUGUUGAGUUUCCUUCUCACCUCUUUGGGUUUUAUGUGCUUCACAUUUAAUGUCAAGACCUUAAAACUGUGCUUUGGCCUUUACAGCUCUGAUAGCCUGCUAAGGCAGGUGAGAAGCUGUUCAAAGUGGGUUUGUUAUCACAAAAGGGUAGAUGUUUCUGUAGUUUACCUUCCCCACACUUGUCAUUAAAGCAUUUUUAAUAAUUAAGAGCUAAUAAUCACCCCCCAUUUUAAAACAGCGUAGGUAAACUAAUGGGAAGAUAUCUGAGUGUCUUCAGCUUUGAGUGGCUCUACUUUAAAAUAAUGAUUAAGAAAUUAGGCAGCCAAAGUCAGCAGCUUUGACUGUGGUGAAUUCUUUCCCAGAGGAGGGAAUUCAGGAGUUUUGAGACCCUCUUCUCCACCCUGUGAGUGGUGUGUGUUCUUCCAGAGAGAUAAUAACACAAUGAUAUUGUGGUAGAUGAAGGUGUAAUUUAUUUCAGAAAUCUACUUUCACCACUCACCUGUGUGUAAUGUUCUUGCUUUCUAAAACAAAUGCUUAAACAAUUUCCGCUUUAUAAAGCCUGUGAUGGUUGAAGUUAUUUACAGCUCUACAACUUCAAAUUGGUAUGAGCCACAGUGGAUGAAAAUAGAUUUUACUGGGAUAACAUGGCAACUAUAAGUUUGCAGGCAGCUAACUUAAACCAUACACUCUUACCAGUCAGCCUUGAGCAUUAGUAAAAAUAGUAGUUCAUUCUGGUUGAGAUUUUAAUGGUAAUUUUUCUUGUGGUUUAACCUUUUCAGUCUACAGCUUUUUUUUUUUUUUUCAUUAAUUGAAAGGUUUUUUCAGUGACUUCUGCAUUAGAUUGGACUGGGUUUUCUGACCUAGAGGUAAUAAAUGCCAGAUUCCCUAUAAUGCUCAGUGAAAAUUUAGAAUCAUGUUGUACAAAAUGUGUUCAGGUUGUUAAGAGCUGCUAAGGCCCUUGGUGUGCAUUAAAGCAGCUGAUUUGCUGCCAGAAUGGGUAUUAUCUCUAUCUCAGAUUAGAAAUGAUUGUUAACUAAACAACAGUUUUCUUUCCAUCAGUUCAGCAGAAUGGAAUGGCGCCUUCCUCGAGGAGAUGUUGAAAGAGGAGGGGCUGAAGAAGAUGUGGUCCUGCUGCCAUGCAACGAGAGCCCAGCUGGAGGGAGAGCAGAUCCAUCCAUUUUCCUGACCUAUUGGUUGGUGUAAUUAACUUUUGUUUCAUCUCCUAAGUAAACCUUGAGAACGAUAAAACGUGUCAGAGGAAAGUCGAAUUUAUUGAGAAGUGUAAUUUGCAAAAGCCCUUCUGGUGAUUCAGCUGCUGGAUAGAGCCCCAGAUGCUGAGUGUCCAUGAGGGAUACAAGGAGCUGGCCAAGGCUGGGUGGUUUUUCUGAGCCCUGAGGAGGGAUGAAAGCUCUGAGGAAGAGAAGGGGCUGGCAGGAGCUGCCUGCUGCAACGCACACAGAGGGCAGUAGUCUCACCUGUCAGCUCUUCAGGACUUCCAGGUUUACUCUUUAUUUGGAUUCCUCCUUCCUCCCCCAUAAAGCUGUUUGCUUAAACACUCCUGUGUAAACUUCAAGCAUGGGAGUGAGACAUAUGACUCGUUCCUGAGAGCCAAACCAUGUGGUUUUCCAGUGUCACUGGAACACCUUCAGUGUUCCUCUUCACUUCUUCAGUGACCCUGUGCCAGCUGUUCCUGGCACUCUGUGCAAAGUGGUGACUGACAGAAUGGUUUGUACUGGCCAUAAACUAAAAGACUUGAAGGUGUUACCCUGCAGAGCUUUGGGGCAGUGCAGCAUCAGGUAGUAUUUACAUAUGAGAACUGAGGUGAGGGCAAAAGUCUGUUUCUAAACCGAAUUGUUCCACAGCAUCUCUGACUAGGACUUGCUUAUCACAAAAGGCUGUUGCCACUACUCACAAAGGCUGUACUCAAGUUAUAGGAGGACACUUUAUCCUGAGUUACAGGUUGCACGUGAGAAUCUCCAUAGACUACAUAAGGAACCAAGGAAAACCAGUAUUGGUAAGUUAAUCUUUCUUAGGAGAUCCUUGGAGCACAAGUCUGGUGUGGAGCAGCUGAGGGAACUGGGGUUGUUUAGUCUGGAGAAAAGAAGGCUCGGGGGGACCUUAUCACUUUCUACAAUUGCCUGUGGGGAGGUUGUGCUGAGGUGGGUGUUUAUGGAAAUGUCAAACUCAAAGGCUCUUCCAUGAGUUGUUAGAGGAUUGCUAUCAGUGAAGAUUUAAAGUCUCUUCUCCCAAGGAACAAGGGUUAGGACAAAGCAAAAUGCCCUCAAGUUGCACCAGGGGAGGUUCAGGUUGGGUAUUGGGAAAAAUUUCAUCACUGAAAGAGUGGUCAGGCUUUGGAACAGGCUAUCCAGGGCAGUGAUGGGAGAAGUGUUCAAGAAAAUGUGUAUCUGUGGCACUUGGGGACAUGGGUUAGUGGUGGCCUCAGCAGUGCUGGGGGAAUGGUUGGACUCAAUGAUCUUACGGGGCUUUUUGCAGUCUUAGUGAUUCUAUGAUUCUUCCCUCCCCCAAUUACUUGCACAGGUUUUACCUUUACAUCCUUCCCAGCUGCCUGUGCUGGUGUUGGCUCACACACAGACACAGCAAAAGGGCUUUGCCCUCACAACUCAGUGCAGCAGCAGUGGCAGAUCCUGGAGAGGAGCAGGGUGAGCAUUAUCCUGGGCCUGCCUUGAGCUCCAUGCUGCCCACAGAUAUAUUGGUGUCUCACUGAGCAAGAUAAAAAAGGAGCAGUCAAGAAGCUUCAACUCCAUUUUUGAGGGCAGUUCAGACUUGGAGUCAGCACUGCUGUGCUACCUGUGGAUUUUAUGGACUGACACUGCUCGGUGUCAUACAACCAUCAGCCCUUCCUCCGGCAUCCCAGGAGUUCAGAAGUGUUGCUCCUCUGGCCCUCAGUGGGUCCUCCUCUCAUGUACAGCACAAAAUCAGCCAGAUGACCUGUGUUUUGGAACUCCACCAGUAGAGCUUCCACAUGUGGAGAACAUAAAAGAUAUUUAAUUUACAAGGCCUGAGCUGUCAGUGUGCUGAGGGUGAGUGUGCAAGUAUUUGGCUUUGGGUCUGUCUGCCCCCGGCCCCACAAAACAGUUUAAUCCAGAAAAAAAAAUCUAAAAAAACCUUCAUUUGCUGGCAGUUUAGAUUCUCUUUAGUUAUAACUCACAACCUCAAAACAUAAGAAUUAAGUUUAAUAGUUCAUAAAUUAUACAAUACACAGCACAUACUGUUGUAAUCUGUGCUGCACAUAAUCUAUGUGAAGUAUUAACACCGAUGUUUAAACAAAACACAAGGUCACUAGAGGCAGUCUUAAACCUCAGCUGUACAGUUUUGCUGAACUAUUUUGGCUAUAGACGUGAUUUUUCACUCCUUUACCCCCAUAUGGUAUUAAUUCAAUUGUUUUAUAUGUUAUACAUGCGUAAGAACUAGAAGGGAUUUCCUCAAACGACAAACACUGAGGAUAAAAAGGUCGAUGUUUAUGGAAAUGUCAAACUCAAAGGCUCUUCCAUGAGUUGUUAGAGGAUUGCUAUCAGUGAAGACUCAAAGCCUGUCAUUCAAGAGUCCUCCAGAGAGAAAAAGCUAAUCCUGAGUUUCCACUCGUGGGUUACUGGUCAGAUCCCUCUGCAGAGCACCAGCAGCAGGAGUGCUGAAGGGAGACCAGGGAAAUUUAGAUGUAGUUUAAAAGAUCCAAAAAGGGCCAUUGAAUAAUUCAGUUCUUGAUCACUCUGGUGUUUGGUUGGUGCUCCCUGAGAAGCAGCUCCCAGUAUGGUGCUGUUGCUGCAAGGUGUUGAAAAGGGAACCUCUCUGUUGCAGUUGCUCUUCCAUAGGCAGGGUGGCAAACAAGAAAUCACUAAAAGACAUUGUCUUAACCUCUUUAAAAGCAGUUUCUGUAUGUCUCUGCUCUUUAUCUGCAGCUCUAAGUGUGUUCUGGAAGGCAAUGCUGUCACUGGAUGAGGUGGGAGAGCAUUGGGCACAAUCCCAGCAGUGGCUGACCAGCUUCCUCCCUUGUGAUCAAAUAAGACAUCAGCAAUAUAUAAAUGUAUAAAUAUAUUUAGGAGAAGGGAGAUUUAUGUAGGAGCUCCAGAAUAACAAAACACUUUGAAAACUGC